rnacentral:rRNA from 1 species
GGGGACCGUAGUAAUAGGUGCAUAUCAUCGGCGGAGCGAGCAUAUCAAUAAGCGGAGGAGCAUAUCAAUAAGCGGAGGAGCAUAUCAAUAAGCGGAGGAGCAUAUCAAUAAGCGGAGGAGCAUAUCAAUAAGCGGAGGAGCAUAUCAAUAAGCGGAGGAGCUUAUCAAUAAGCGGAGGAUGUCUUAACUUUCGGAAUGGAUCUCUUGGUUCCGGCAUCGAUGAAGAACGCAGCGAAAUGCGAUAAGUAAUGUGAAUUGCAGAAUUCCGUGAAUCAUCGAAUCUUUGAACGCACAUUGCGCCCCCUGGCAUUCCGGGGGGCAUGCCUGUCCGAGCGUCAUUUCUGCCCUCAAGCACGGCUUGUGUGUUGGGUGCGGUCCCCCCGGGGACCUGCCCGAAAGGCAGCGGCGACGUCCGUCUGGUCCUCGAGCGUAUGGGGCUUUGUCACUCGCUCGGGAAGGACUGGCGGGGGUUGGUCACCACCAAAAUUUUUACCACGGUUGACCUCGUAUCAGGUAGGAGUUACCCGCUGAACUUUUGCAUAUCAAUACUCGGACGAAUU